UUGGCGCCACUUCAUCCAUACUUCUAUUAGCUACAACAAUUUUUUUUUGAAUUUGCUACUGCAUGAGUUUUUACUACUGCAGACAUAGAGUAUUUGCUACUAGUAAAACAGGGAUUUUGUAUAGUUUUUACUACUACUAACACACAGCAGAGUAUUUGCUACUAGAAAAACAGGGAUUUUGUAUGCAUUGCUACCGGAUGAGUGCUUUCUUUGUACUAUUUCACCUUGGCAUGCAUAUGUUUAUUUCACCUUAGAUGGAAAUGAGUGUUAUCAAGGAAAUGGUUUUAGGUAAACCAGCACCUCUCAUCAGUCUUUCUUACUCAGUGUUAUCAUCUGCUUGGUUUUACGUGAUGCACUCAUUUCCCGCGAUGGUUUUGCUUGCGUUUUCCUUAUGUUGUUUCGCGUCGGGUUCUGAUUCGCUUUGCCACUAUUAUUUUUGUGGCGAUGCAGACUUGUGGUAACGAAGAGCAAGGCCGAGAAGGACUCCAACAAGCCCAAGCGCCCUCUGAGCGUCGUCUUAGUCCUCAUCUUCAGGAAGGACUCCAACAUCAAGCAUGUCUCCAUGGUUGGCAAGGGCGGUGGUGAGAAGUGGAAGUAUCUUGAGUGAUGUUGAGAAGGCUCCCUAAUUGCCAAGGCCAAGUACACCAAGAAGAUCGACACCUACAACAACCCACUGGCAGGAGAGGUGUCCGACAACUCAGACAAGUCCCAGUCUGAGGUGAGCAACGAUGACGACAAAAGCAAUGGGGACUUGUGAUGUGGCACGCAAAGCAGCAGCAGGGGGAGGGGGUCUCUGAAAUGUCGCCGCUUUCUCUCAUUGCUAGUGUCACCGAUUGAUGAUGGAUGGUUGCUGUUAGUUUAGCUCCUUAGUAGUACCUCCUAGUCUUUCAGGCGGCUACUGCUGGUAGCUAUAGUCUGUUCACCGAUUGAUGAUGGAUUGUUGAAUGUACUUACUGUUGUACCCGUGGCUGUUUAAGGAAUACUUUCGCGUUGAAAGAAAUAAAAUGGUCUUGAUACAUGCUUGUUUGAAA